UACGUAGGUGGCAAGCGUUAUCCGGAAUUAUUGGGCGUAAAGAGCGCGCAGGUGGUUGAUUAAGUCUGAUGUGAAAGCCCACGGCUUAACCGUGGAGUGUCAUUGGAAACUGGUCGACUUGAGUGCAGAAGAGGGAAGUGGAAUUCCAUGUGUAGCGGUGAAAUGCGUAGAGAUAUGGAGGAACACCAGUGGCGAAAGGCGGCUUCCUGGUCUGUAACUGACACUGAGGCGCGAAAGCGUGGGUAUCAAACAGGAUUAGA
rnacentral:rRNA from 1 species